rnacentral:lncRNA from 1 species
AUUUUGUCAAAUGGGGAUUCAAAAUACUGGAAUAAUUAAAUCGGGCCCAAACAACAAAUAAUGUAAUGUAUGAGUGUAAGUGCAAGAGAACUGUCUCAUUGUAAGAAGGCCCAAGAGUAAGCCAUGUGAAGAAAAUAACACAACAAAUUAUAUCUAUAACACACUUAAAAAUUAAAUCGAAAAAAAGGUAAAAUCGGGAUUUGUAUGGAUGGACAUUGAGGAACACACAAAACCUAAAUAAUGUGCUCAAAGCCGGUUUGCACAUAUUGACAACAAUUGAAAUGUCAUAUGCGAUUAAUCGAAACGCGGCGAAAUACUAUCAAUAUAUCGAUAAAAAUAAUCAUGGAUAAAUAACAAGAAAAUUGUCAAAUCCAUAAAUUAAAAAUCGAUGUUUAACAUUAAAAUCAACAAGUGUUUAAAAAAGGAGAAAAAAUAAAAAUAAAUAAAAGGUUUAAAAUAAUAAAAAAAAAUGGUAAUACUAAUAAAAACUAGUAGAAAAUAAAAAAUAUGUUAAAAAUGAAAAAUGCUGAAAACCAAGGAUUGAACCUAGGGUUUAAUAAACAACACUUCUACCACUGGGCUAGAACUAUUUUGUUAAUCAAAUAUUGCUUGCAUUACUAUAAAUAUAAUAAACAGGGGCUGAAUAUAAUUAAAUAACAAAAAUAAACAGUAGCAGUAGCAUGAAUGAUUUCCAUCUGUUUACUGUAACUCAGAAAAAGCUCAAGACUUGAAUGAAGAUUAAACACACAAAAAACAAUCAAAUGAUGCACAUGGAACCACACACGGAAGAGAAAGGAAUCGAACAUGUGAGUUACCGAAAUACCAAGGUUGCUACCGCUUUGCGUUGUUGUUGCUGGAAGAACGUCGAGUCGUGAUGUGACGGUUCCGGUUGUAGCCUUUGUGGUUGCAACA